CUGCCUACCAGACGAGUCUUCAGCUUUGCCUCUCCCCCCCAUCUCCACCACUGAGACUGGACUGUGAGGCCUCGUGUACCACAGGCCAGUUCCUGCUCAGGCGCCGGAUCACCUCCCAGGGACACCGUUCUGCACUCCUGGCCAAGUCCAGCCCUCUCCGAUGUUGCCAAAGCCACCCAUCCAGUUGCCUUCCUGCCAAGCAGCACCCUCCCUGAGGGCAGGGCCCACGUGUGCAGCAGCAGAGACCCCCUCCAGGAGCAGUGGAGGAGGAAACUCACCCGGAAGGUGGCACACCACGGGGAUGCCCAGCUUCUUGAGGUCGUCUGCGUUGCCGACGCCAGAAAGCAUGAGCAGCUGCGGGGAGUUGAUG